rnacentral:rRNA from 1 species
UACGAAGGGUGCAAGCGUUAAUCGGAAUUACUGGGCGUAAAGCGGGCGCAGGCGGUUUUGUAAGGCAGAUGUGAAAUCCCCGGGCUUAACCUGGGAACUGCGUUUGAAACUACAAGGCUAGAGUGUGACAGAGGGGGGUGGAAUUCCACGUGUAGCAGUGAAAUGCGUAGAGAUGUGGAGGAACACCGAUGGCGAAGGCAGCCCCCUGGGUUAACACUGACGCUCAGGCACGAAAGCGUGGGGAGCAAACAGG